rnacentral:rRNA from 1 species
CCCUUCGGGGUACUCGAGCGGCGAACGGGUGAGUAACACGUGGGCAACCUGCCCCUAGCUCUGGGACAACUCCGGGAAACCGGGGCUAAUACCGGAUACGACCUCGGAGGACAUCCUCUGCGGUGGAAAGUUUUUCGGCUAGGGAUGGGCCCGCGGCCUAUCAGCUUGUUGGUGAGGUAACGGCCCACCAAGGCGACGACGGGUAGCCGGCCUGAGAGGGCGACCGGCCACACUGGGACUGAGACACGGCCCAG